UACGGAGGGGGCAAGCGUUGUCCGGACUUACUGGGCGUAAAGGGUGCGUAGGCGGUCUUGUGUGUCGGUGCUGAAAGCGCCCGGCUUAACCGGGCGAGGCGUGCCGAUACGAUAAGACUGGAGGGGCAGCGAGGGUGGCGGAACUCCUGGUGUAGUGGUGAAAUGCGUAGAGAUCAGGAAGAACACCCGUGGCGCAAGCGGCCACCUGGCUGCCAACUGACGCUGAGGCACGAGAGCGUGGGGAGCGAACCGG
rnacentral:rRNA from 1 species